rnacentral:rRNA from 1 species
GACGGAGGGUGCAAGCGUUGCUCGGAAUCACUGGGCGUAAAGGGUGCGUAGGCGGUCUCGCAAGUCUGGCGUGAAAGCCCAAGGCUCAGCCUUGGAAGUGCGCUCGAAACGGCGAGGCUGGAGUGCCGGAGGGGAGAUUGGAAUUCACGGUGUAGCAGUGAAAUGCGUAGAUAUCGUGAGGAAGACCGGUGGCGAAGGCGGAUCUCUGGACAGUUCCUGACGCUGAGGCGCGAAGGCCAGGGGAGCAAACGGG